rnacentral:rRNA from 1 species
CAUGUCCUUUUGAUUAUAAUUUAAGGUCUAAUCUGCCCACUGAAAUUUUAAAUGGCCGCAGUAAUUUGACUGUGCUAAGGUAGCAUAAUCAUUAGUUUUUUAAUUGAAAGCUGGAAUGAAUGAUUGGAUGAAAUAAAAGCUGUCUCAAAUUUAUUAAAAUAGAAUUUUAUUUUUAAGUUAAAAAGCUUAAAUAUUAUUAAAAGACGAGAAGACCCUAUAGAGUUUUAUAUAGCUAAUUAUAUUUAAGUUAUUAUUUUAAAAAUUUUAUUUAAUUAUCUAUAUUUUAUUGGGGUGAUAGAAAAAUUUACUAAACUUUUUUUUUUGUAAAACAUUUAUAAAUGAUUAAUUGAUCCAUUAUUAAUGAUUAUAAGUUUAAAUUACCUUAGGGAUAACAGCGUAAUUUUUUUUGAGAGUUCAAAUCGAAAAAAGAGAUUGCGACCUCGAUGUUGGAUUAAAGUUUAAUUUUGGUGUAGAAGCUAAAAAUUUAAGUCUGUUCGACUUUUAAAACUUUACAUGAUCUGAGU